rnacentral:rRNA from 1 species
GUAGUCCACGCCGUAAACGAUGAUGACUAGCUGUCGGGGCGCUUGGCGUUUCGGUGGCGCAGCUAACGCGUUAAGUCAUCCGCCUGGGGAGUACGGCCGCAAGGUUAAAACUCAAAGAAAUUGACGGGGGCCUGCACAAGCGGUGGAGCAUGUGGUUUAAUUCGAA